rnacentral:rRNA from 1 species
GCACCGUAACUUACGCAGUUGUUGGCAGGUCAAGUCUUGCCUUGUGCAAGUCUGGUUAGUUGUGCGAUGUUUCCUAGGCUCUUGGGCUUGGGUGCACGCGUUGCUGACGCCUGCCAGCAGCUCCUGUUCAACACAAACUUUUGAUGUACCAAUGAAGUCUAAUGUAAAGUAAAUAACAAAAAAACAACUUUCAACAAUGGAUCUCUUGGUUCUCGCAUCGAUGAAGAACGCAGCGAAUUGCGAAAAGUAAUGUGAAUUGCAGAAUUCCGUGAAUCAUCGAAUCUUUGAACGCACAUUGCACUCCUUAGUCACUCUAAGGAGUAUGCCUGUUUGAGUAUCAGUAAAACAACUCACCCUUUGGGUGGAUGUGAGUGCUCCAGUCUUUACGGGCUGGUCGCUUUAAACUGAGUGGGGAUUGCAUGGACUGCCGUCUCUUGGUUAGCGUAGUAGUUCUCUUUGGAGAUUCCUAACGCUGUUCAGCCUUGAGCACUCUGGUCUGCAAGCCCCAAGCAAAAAACAAUACCAAGCUAGCUAGGCGGUUUGCCCAGCUUCUGAUCUUGAUCUCAAUCAGGCAAGACUACCCGCUGAAUUUAAGCAUAUUAAUAAGCGGAGGAAAAGAAACUAACAGGAUUCCCCUAGUAACGGCGAGUGAAGCGGGAAGAGCUCAACUUUAAAAUCUGGGCGGCUAUGCUGCUCCGAAUUGUAGUAUGAAGGUGCACUUUCGGCUAACCCCAAAGUUCAAGUCCCUUGGAAAAGGGCAUCGGAGAGGGUGAUAAUCCCGUCUUUGGCUUUGGACCGUUAGCCUUGCGAUUGUGCUCCCAAGAGUCGAGUUGUUUGGGAAUGCAGCUCAAAAAGGGUGGUAAAUUCCAUCUAAAGCUAAAUAUUGGCGAGAGACCGAUAGCGAACAAGUACCGUGAGGGAAAGAUGAAAAGAACUUUGAAAAGAGAGUUAAACAGUACGUGAAAUUGUUGAAAGGGAAACGAUUGAAGCCAAGCAAGCAAUCGGUCUCGACCGACUGCUGGCCAACAUCAGUUUGGGUGGCUGGACAAAGGCUUGGGGAAUGUAGGUCUUUUCGGAGACUGUUAUAGCCCCUUGCUCAUACAGUUGCCUGGACUGAGGACCGCAACCAAUGGAUUGUGCCUGCUGCUGCAAAGCUACCGUGUCCAGACAGCGUGCUGACUGGGUGCGAGUAGCCUAGUACUCGGUGGGUUACAUACCUUGGCUUAGGAUGUCGGUGUAACGGCUUUAAACGACC